GUCCUUCUGACUCCAAGGCCAGAGCUCUAUUCACUGUUCCACCUAGCCACCCCUUGGGGGCAUAUUCUUGAACAAGCAGUGUUCUGGGGUGUGUAUUAGAGAUAUCCCCUGGGGCAAACAGGGAAACUAGGGAGGAAGGGCUUGGGAGCCCAGAGGGGCAACAAGGAUGGGUACUGGAACCAGUCUCCAUGGUGGGCAGGGAUCCUGGGGGUGGGCUUUGGGACUAGGCUUUGGGGUGGGAAGGGGUUCUAGAGGUGGGCAUUGCUACUUGGCUCUGAGAAUAGGAGUUCUGGAGGUGGCCAUUGGAAGCAGGCCCUGGAAUAGGCAGGGCUUCUGGGAUUGGACACUGGGGAGGGCAGAGUGGGCACUGGGGAUGGCUUCUGAGGCAAGCAAUGAUUCUGAGGAUGGGUAUUUGUGGUUGGCCCUGGGGUAGGCAGAGAUCCUGUGGCAAAGGGGAGGAAAUCCUUGAGACAGGCAGGGGCACUGGGGCCUGCCAUGGUGGUGAGCAAGGGCUCUGAGGCUGGGAACUGAGAAGGGUAGUGCCUCAAGGAUAGGCAAGGGCACUGGAGGUCAGUCUCUGGGGCAUGCAGGGGUACUGGGUAUGGGCCCUGGAGCACAUUGGACUUCUAUGGCAAGCAGAGGCACUGUGGGCAAGUCCUACUGCAGGCAAGGGCAUUGGGCCCCAGCUGCGGAGCAGGCAAGCAUUGCAAGGGAGGGUGGUCACUGGGGUCAGACUGGGGGACUAUUAGGGGCAGGUAGGGGACUGGGACUUUGAGGUGGUCACUGAGAGCCAGCUACAGGAUGGACAAAGGCUCUUGGGGUGGGCAUUUAGGGAGGGAUCUGGGUUAGGCAGAGGUACUGUGGAUGAGGCCUAGGGUAGGGAGGGGCUCUGAAGGUAGGCACUGGGGGGAGGACCCUGGGUUAGGUAAGGCUUCUGGGCCAGGUAGGAUCACUGGAAGUGGACUCUGGGGCAGACAAAGGGAACUGAAGAAGUCAGGAGCUCAGGGAAGGGGGUGAUCACUGGAAUAAGGCUUUGGGGUGGAUAUGAGUUCUUGGGGUGAGUACUAAGGGUGAGCUCUGGGAUAGGCCAGAAUUCUGGGGUGGGGGUGGACUAAGACUUAGGUAUGAACAUAUUCUGGGAAUGGACUCUGGCAGGGCCACAGGAGUCUCUGCGGGAUGGGCACUGGGGGCAGGCCCUUGGGCAGGGAGAGGUACUGGGGCCUGGAUCUAAGGUGGGCAGGGGGUCUGGGUAUGGGCACUAAGAAGAGUAGAGGUCCUAGAGAGAACAGGGACAAUGGGGAGUAGGCACUGGAACCAGGCUCUGGGGUGGGAGGGGUACUAGAGGUGAGCACUGGCACAGGCAAGGGCUCUGAGGUGGGCACUGGGGAGCCCAGGGAUGCUGGGGGACACUGCUAUGAGAAUCUGGGGCAGACAUGGGCUCUGAGAAUGGACACGUGGUGGGCCCUGGGGUGGGCAGGGCCUCCGAGGCAGACAGGGGCACUUGGAAUAGGUACUGGGGUCAGGCUCUUGGACCAGACUCUGAGGUGGGAAGGUCUGAGAGUGAUCACUGGAACCAGGUUCUGGGAUGGUCAGGGGUUCUGGUGGUGAGCACUGGGGUCAGGCUCUGGGUCAUGCCGGGACAGUGGAGGCAGACUCUAAGGGUAGGCUCUGGGGCAUACUGGACUUUUGUGCAGACACUGCACUGUGGACAGGGUAGGCAGGGUCACUGGGUCCCAGAUCUGGUGCAGGCAAGCACUGGGGGGUGGUCACUAGCAUCAGGCUGUGGAGGUUGGGACUAGAGAGGUCAAGGACUCCAAUGUGAAUAAUAACACUGGGGGUGGUCACAGGGGAAGAGACACUGAGACUGAGCUCUAGGAGUCACCUCUGGGGCAGGCAAUGGCUCAGGAUGGGCAUUUGUGGCAGGCCUUGAGGCACACAAGGCUUCUGGGGCAGGUAGGGGGCACUGAGGUGGUCUGGGAUUCUGAAGCAGGCAAAGACACAAGGAGUGGUCACUGGGACAAUGCUCUGGGGUGGGCACUCAGUGAAAACCUUAGCACAGGAAAGAGUUCUGGGGGCAGGCUCUGAGAGAGGCAGACAUAUUGGGAAUCAGUUCUGAGGCUAGCAGGGGUCUCCUCUGGGGUCGGCAGUGGCUUGAAGGAUAGGUAUUUGUGGUGGCCCUUGAAGCAGGCAUGUGCACUGAGGAGGGCAGGGGUUCUGGAGGUAGGGACUGGUAGUAGGCUCCUAGACUAAGCUCUGUGGUGGGAAGGGGUUCCGAGGAUGGGCACUGAAACCAGGUUCAAAGGUAAGACUGGUACUGGGGGUGGGCUUUGGGGGAGGCAGGGCCAAUAGGGGUGAGCUCUGGAACAUGCAGGAAUUCGGGGGGCAGGCACUAGGGAGGGCAGGGGCUUUGGAGAAGGCAAGGAUACUGAGGGUGAUCACUCCAGUGCCCAUCCUAGGGGCCUCUGGGGUUGAGCAAUGGAUGUGGGCCCUGGGGCAGGUAGGGGGCACCAGAGUCAAGCUCUGGAGCAGGAAGGGCUGCUGGAGGUGUGCACUAGGGUCAAACCUUGGGACAGGCAGGUGCUAAGGGAUGUGGGGGUGAGCACUGGGAGAAUCAGGGCCAAUGAAGGUAGGCUCUAGGGCAGCUAAGCACUCUAGGGGUUGGCACUGGGUAACUUGGGAUUUGGGGAUAUUAGAAGUAGGUCCUGGAGUAGGCAGGGGCACUGGAGCGAGGCUCUGAGACAAGCAGGGACACUGAGGGCAGAGGCUCUGGGAUAGGCACUGAGGAGGGCAGAGGGUCUAAAGUGAGCAGGAGCACUUGGGAUGGGCACUGGAAACAGGUUCUGGGGUGGGUAGGGGCUCUAAGGGUGGUCCCUGAGGUAGGCAGGGUUUCUGGGACAGGCAGGGGCCCUGGGGAGAGCAGGAGCUCUAGAAGUGAGUAUUUGUGGUGGGUCCUGGGACAAAGUAGGUAAUGUGACCAGGCUCUGGGGUGGGGAAGACUAUGGGUGGGCACUGAGAGCAGACCCUUGGGGAGGAAGGGCCCCUGGGAAGAAAGUCCCUGAAAGUGGUUUCUGGGGCACGCAAACAUUGUGGUGGUGGUUCCUGGGAUCAGGCUCUGAGUGGGCAUAGACUCUAAGGAAUUAGGGUACUGGGCUUGGGCUCUGGGUCAGACAGGGCCUCUGCAGCAGACAAGACGACUGUGGCUGGAAUCUAGCACGGGAAGGGGCACUGUGUCCCAGCUCUUGGAGGUGGUCACUGGGAAUAUCAGGGGCUCUGGGGCACACAUGGGCACUGGAAGUCACCCACUGGGAUCAGCCUCUCAGGUGGGCAGGUGCUCUAGAGGCUGGUUUUGGGGGUGGGCCCUGAGAGGCACAGCUGCCUCUAGGGCAGGAAGAGUUUCUGGGGCUGGGCACUGGAGGCAGGUCUAGGAGCAGUCAGGGGCCCUAGGAUGGGCACUGGAGUAGGCAAAGGUUCUGAGGCAGACAGAGAUGCUGGGGAAGGCAAGGGUUCUCAGGGCAGGCUAUAAAGCAGGCAGGGGCACUAAGGAAGACAGGGGCUCUGGGGGCAAGCUGGGGCACUGUGGGUGGGCCCUCUGAAAGGCAGGGACUCAGAAAGGUGAGGACUGGGGGUGAGCACUGGGGGGAGUCUGGGGCGAGGAGGGUGGGGCCUGGGGCAGCUAGGCACUCUAGGGUUGGCACGGGGAGGACAGAGGGCAGAGAGCAGAGGGUGAGUAUUGAGAGAGGGUUCUGGGUCAGGCAGGGACACUGGAGGUAGGCUUACUGGAGGUGAUCCCUAGGGCAAACAGGAGAACUGGGGAAAGCAGAGACACUGGGACAGGGCUCUGGGGUGGGUAGGGACUCUAGGGUUGGGCACUGGGGGUAGGCUCUGAGACAGAGAGGGCCUCUGCAGCAGGCAGGGAUAUUAGGGUUGGGUCAUAACACAGGCAAGGGCACUGAGUAAGGGUACUAGCAGUAAACAGGUAGGCCUUGGGCAAGGCUGGACCUCUGAGACAGACAGAAGCUCUUGGGUUUCGAAACUGGGGGGCAGGUCCUGGUACUGGCAGGGUCACUGGGAUUCAGCUCUGAGGAGGACAAGGUCAGAUAGAGGCACUAAAGGUGCACAGUGGGACCAAGCUCUGGGAACUGCAGGCAGACUCUGGAGCAGUCAGAGGCGCUAGGGUGGGCACUGAAGCAGAAGCCUGGUAGCUUCUUUCAGAGCACUGGACUAGGGAAUGAGGAGAGAUGGAAUCCAGUGUCAUUUCUGCCACUCCCUAGCCUGAUUUCCAUCCAUAGCUUAGCAUGGUGCCUAACAAACAGAUCUGAAUUUGCUACUCUGGCAAGUCAAGCCCUGGACGUUGAUGUUUAAGAUGGCAAGUGGCAGUCACUGGAUCUACAUACCUAAGGUCUAAUCCUAACUCUGUUCCUAAACUGUGAGACCUCAAGGAAGUUGAAGCCUGGCUCUCACCUCUCUGAAUCUCAGCUUUCUUAUCUGUAAAAUGAUGGGGGAACUGAGACAAAGUAAUUUUCCCUAAGGUCAGGUGGCAGAUAGAAAGCCUGCUCCCGAUUCCAGAUCCUGGCUUUUUCCAAAGCACCAAGCUGCCUCUGGCCUCAUGAAGGAGAGAUUUGACUUGACCUUGAAAGAUGGAAAGGAGUAGGGGAAGACAAGGAGGGAGUCAUAUGAGCAAAGUGGGGAGAGGAAGCCUCUAAAAAAGGAAAGAAAAGAAAACGUCAUUGAAGCACUUUUUAAAAAAUGCACAGAAGAGAAUAGAAAGUCAAAAAGAAUCAAAGACGAUCAGGAUUGAAAGUUAUAUGUAUUUAUUUUAUAUUUUAAAAGAAAAGCAUGCUGUACAUAAGAGAUUUACACAGUUUAUCUUUUCUCUUUUCCUGUGUGUGCGCGCACGCGCUCAUUUUGUUUGCUAUGUGUUAAGUUCAGAAUAAAAAAAAUUUUAAAUAAUUGUAGACCCCUAUACCAAGUAUGCCACACCCCCCCCUUCGCUUUCUUUUGUAUAUUGUUUUCCCCCUUAGACUGUAAACUGAGGUCUUUCUUUUUCAUAUUUGUAUCUCCAGCGCUUAGCACAGUGCCUGGCACAUAGAAGGCACUUAAUAAAUGUUUAUUGGCUAUAGCUGUAGGUGAUGAAAACCAACAGAUCAAUAAAAAAAAAAUUAAGUCUAAAAAUGCGGUCGGGGGCACUGAAAGGCUAACAGACUUGCCCAUGAUCAUGCAAUCAGUCAAGAAACAUUUAUUAAACCCUGACUAUAUACCUAUGAUAAUGAC